CCCGCACAAGCGGCGGAGCAUGCGGAUUAAUUCGAUGCAACGCGAAGAACCUUACCAAGGCUUGACAUACACCGGUAACGCCCAGAGAUGGGUGCCCCUUUGUGGUCGGUGUACAGGUGGUGCAUGGUUGUCGUCAGCUCGUGUCGUGAGAUGUUGGGUUAAGUCCCGCAACGAGCGCAACCCUCGUCCUAUGUUGCCAGCGGGUCAUGCCGGGGACUCAUGGGAGACUGCCGGGGUCAACUCGGAGGAAGGUGGGGAUGACGUCAAAUCAUCAUGCCCCUUAUGUCUUGGGCUUCACGCAUGCUACAAUGGCCGGUACAAAGGGCUGCGAUACCGCGAGGUGGAGCGAAUCCCAGAAAGCCGGUCUCAGUUCGGAUUGGGGUCUGCAACUCGACCCCAUGAAGUCGGAGUCGCUAGUAAUCGCAGAUCAGCAACGCUGCGGUGAAUACGUUCCCGGGCCUU
rnacentral:rRNA from 1 species